rnacentral:tRNA from 1 species
AAUUUUAUAGUUAAAUUAAUAACAUUAGAAUGCAAUUCUAAAAUAAUAAUAAUUAAUAUUAUUAAAAUUU